AGACACAGGGAGAACAGAAUAGCAAAAAUAAAACCAUGACAAGACGGACCAAACUAAAACUGUGACAUAAAACUAAGAUUGUGACUCUUGGAGCAUGUUGGGGCGGUUGUGCCGGAGGCAGAAACACCUCCAUGUCGUCCUUCAUCCACUGUGUUUCUAGUCUUGGGUCAACCGGCCACGAUGUGAGGCCCAGGGACUCUCUGGGGAGGAAGCCGGUUGCACUCUGUCAAAAGACACCAUGCCAGGGAGGAGAAGAUGGAGAGUGGCUUUGUGAAGUAAGCAUUAUGGUUGACUCUCAACACGCGGGGAUCCAUAUUACAGUGUGCAGCGGAGCCAGAACCUGUUGGGCUGGCAGGAUGGAGCCCAGGGCGAAGACAUCAAUCACCGCUCUGGACCCAAAGGAAACUGACGGUGUCAAUGGUACCAGCGUGGCCACCAUCCAUCACUCCCUUCAAUCCAACACCCUCUUUACAGUCAUGAAAACACAAGGGCUGUCCCGACAAAAACUGACAAAGUCGAAUCUGAUUGUUCAAGUCCUGCCUAUCGCUGAAUCAUGUUUUUUAGGUGGGGUUUUGCUCAUUGAUCCUUGUCUUUUUGAGAAUGAUGCAUCGAUAGAGAAAUAUUAAAACAACAACACAUUUGGCCUUGAUACAUGUGGCUAUUGCUAAGCUGUUGUUUCAGAACAAUGGACAUCACUGUUGGUGUUGGUGCGGCACUUUCCAUAGCCUAGUACUAAAAUAUGGCAGAGGGGAUUGACUCAUAGACAGACUGUGAGAACAGAUUUCUAGCCUACUUGCUUUUUGUGGUUGUAAAACUUCAUCUUCCCCUCAUUGUACCAUUUUACAAAUAAUAGAUAAACAUCUGCAAGCCCUUAACAGGUGUUUCUAUGCAACUCCCCUUGCAAAUCUUGACAGAAAAACAUUCAUAAAUUCAAAAUUAAUUAUACAUUGUGCUUAUUUGAGUUUGAAACAGUAGCCAAAGGCUGUUCCGAAAAUGCGGCAAAUAUGCAUAUUUUAAUGAUUUUACAUAGUGAUUUCAUGAUGCUUAAUAAGGCGUGUGAUGGGAAGCAUGUGAGUUAUUUUCGAAAUGUUAUUAUACGAUAGCUCAAGUCUGAAAUUUGACUUGCAUCACAGCAGCUCCAUGUGUAACAUCAACAUAGAAACAAAACAUGAACAACAAACAUUUAACAUAACAUCACAAUCACUGAGAGAAAACAUGCUCAAAGACCCUUUAGCGUGCAUUUGAUCUGGGAUUUAACUCUGUAUUUACUGUGAGGAUUGACUGACUAUCAAAAGGCUGAUACUGAUACGUAGGCUUUAUUGUUAAAAAAAAAAGUCAUUGUGAGCCAUUCAGCCACCAUAUAACUCGAACAGAAUGAUCCUUUGUUUCAGAAAACCAAUUUCCCACUGCUGCAAUGAUUAAACUGCGAGGUUGGGAGUCAAAUUAGUCUCCUUGAAUCAAAUUGUCUUAAAAGUCAAAUAUUCUGGAUCACCCUUAGGAAACAAAUGCAGGUAAUAUCAUCCAGCCUGAUGAGUCAGUUGGAUGAGUGAGGUGCAUUUUGAAGCAGGAGAAAUCAAGCUGAUGUGUCAGGAAGACAAAAUAAU